UUGGGAAUUAGAAAUGAGGUGGAAUGGGACAACUGGACUGGUUUAGGGUAAAGUCAGGCAUUUAAUUAAAUAAGGAGGGUGCACAUGCGCAAGAAAACAUAACAGAAGGAGGCUAUACAGGUGCUGACAAGUAACUAAAACACAAAAUAACAUCAACCGCUAUUUAGCUCUUGGAAAAAAAAGAAGGAACGCCAAAUAACUAAAGGAGGUCAGCACCCAUAAGCUUUACAUAACAUAACAGCACAAAACAAACAAGCAGCUAUUCUGCAAAAAGAACUCAACAAAAGCAAGAGAGAGACCAUCAAGGUACUCUCUAAACUAGUUAAAUGUACACAGAUUCAGCACACUGGCUAAAACCACUCAAAUAGGUUCCAGCCAGGCAAAACUAAACAAACACUCUAUUUCAAUAUGCUUUAACACAACGGACUGUCACAGUAUGUAACCAACAGCGAGGCGAACUGAUCACUGACUCACAGCCGCCAUGAACUGAGGGCACACAAGCUAUUUAUGUUGCAGCUGGGGUUGAUUGCAGAGUCUCGAUUGGUAGAUUUGGUAGACACACAGCCACACCAAUCACAGACGCAGGUGGACAGGAAGCAGGAAGUAGACCGCCUCUGCUUCGGCCGGACCAAUCCUCAUCAGGGAAUCACACAGCUUGCUUUGCAUGCCUGGCAGAAUCACUCAUGGGAACACACAAUGAACAUACACUAAACGGCAGCCAGCAGCGGCCGUAACGCUGUGGCUUUGUGAAAAAUGUUUUGUCUGUCAGUUUGAACCCUGCUGCAAGACAGCAACCACAAAUAUUACUGCAACUUUGGCGUCCACGGUGACUCCGGCGUCCACAGCAGACCAUCAGAAAGAAACAUGUAUGGUUACUAUGGUACUGUGUCAUUCUGAAUUCAACAUGGAUCUCUUUUGGAAGUUGUUGACAUUUGCAUUUGAGACAUUAUGUAACAAUUGUGAUUGUUAUGAUGGUCUACAGGUGCCAGAGGACACUGAAGACCAUCCCUACAGCAAAGACUUGGCUUAUGUGUGUGUCCAUUUAGAGCAGUGAUGUUACUGUGGCCAGACAAGAGGACACGUCUUCAAAGUGUCUUGUGCUAUGAAAGAUCCAACAAGCCAAACAGCAACCAUGUGAGUCCAGUUGUCUGUUAAUUCAUGUCAUUACUCAGGAUGAAGGCAUGCUGCAAUACCUUAAGAAAAUCAUCAGAGGCAACAUUGUGUCUCCCUGGGCCAAGAAGGAGGACAGGGUCUUCAUUCUUUUUGAAGAUGAUGACCAAGUGGACCAGGUGAUGCACUUCUUGUCUGGAGUGGUUGAAAGUCCACAGACAGAUAAGAAGUCUGCAGAUCCUGUGGCUUCAAUCAUACAGAGGCGCAAGAUCAAGUCCAAUAAACAGCAAUAAAUGACAGUAAGUGACGGAGACCACCGUGCCAAAAGCAUAUUGUUUUAGCGGUUGAAAACUGUGCACUCUUCCAUCUGGCAACACCUGCCCAGUGACACAAAGUUCCCACCUUUAUAGCAACAAAAAAGAACACACCCACCACCUGUCGGCAUAAAUUGGUAGUGCAGCAGCUACACAAACAAAUGGCUCCUACAACAUGUUUUAUAUGACUUCAUAUGUCUCCUUUUAACACACACUCACUGUCCAACACAAUCUUAAAUCUUCAUCAUUGAUGUAUGUCCCUGCAGCUGUACUCUCCAUCUCCCUGGACAAAGACUGAAUUUCUUGAAUUUCCUUCGGGAUCAAUAAAGUAUCUAUCUAUCUAAACUGAUCAUUUAGGAAACUGUUAAUCCAAUUUUCACAACAGUUUAUAUCCCAUAAUGUAUGUCAGUGACUUCAUUAUUUUGUUAUAUCAUUUUGUCUCAUCAGCGAGAUAACUCAGUUUCAGAGCCACAUGUCCAAGGAAGCAAGGCCCAAACUGGAAAGCCUUAGAGAGUGAGGCCUUUGUCAGGCGCCUGUAAUCCAUGACAACUGACAAAUGAAAAAUGUAAAUAGUUAAUUGUCUGCUAUGCAUACAAAUAAAA